UACGGAGGAUCCGAGCGUUAUCCGGAUUUAUUGGGUUUAAAGGGUGCGUAGGCGGUUUGAUAAGUUAGAGGUGAAAUGUCGGGGCUCAACCCCGAAACUGCCUCUAAUACUGUUGGACUAGAGAAUAGUUGCGGUAGGCGGGAUGUAUGGUGUAGCGGUGAAAUGCUUAGAGAUCAUACAGAACACCGAUUGCGAAGGCAGCUUACCAAACUAUAUCUGACGUUGAGGCACGAAAGCGUGGGUAGCAAACAGG
rnacentral:rRNA from 1 species